GUCUGAAUAGUUUAAUUAAAAUAAUGGUUUGUGGGACCGUGGAUGUAUAUAUUUAUAUUAUACUUUAGGCC
rnacentral:tRNA from 1 species